GGGAGCGUCCGGAUGCCUGGUGGGUCCCGCGGCCUUCAAAGCCGUUGAGGGGUCGUUACGCGAUCCCUGGUGGGUUCGAUUCCCAUCCGCUCCCG
rnacentral:tRNA from 1 species